ACAGUUUUUGGACAGAAGUAGAUCGUCAAUGCAGAAAAGGACUUCCACACAUUACAGCACCAGGAAAUCCUGAGUUAUUUCAAAAAAGAUUUGUAAGCACCUGGAAUCUUCUUGUAGAAAUUGCCAAGAAAUAUGGGAAUAAUGAAAUGCUGAAAACAAAUCCAUCAUUUCAAGACCAUAUAAAGAGAUUCAAUUUACCAGUAUAUUUCGAAAUUAGAUUCCAGCAAAUUGCAAGCCAGUUUGAGACUGAUCUCACAAUUAAACCAAAUGACUCUUCAAUUUUCAAUGGUGAUAAUGACUUUGGAUUCAAACUAAAAAUAACACUUGAUUUGUAUGUUGCUUUGAAAAAAUGCUUCAAUGGCCAUGUCUUCAUUGAUCAAUUGGCAGAUCAUUUCCUCAAAUUCUCAAUGUUUCUUCUAUCUAGAUACAUUAUGUGGUUCAAGAAAAUAUUGGAACAGCGCUAUACUAAUAUGAAUUGGGAGUACUUCAUUAUGAAUUCUCUGAUGGAUUUCAAAAAACUUCUCACUAUUCUUGGUGA